ACUUUGCAUUGCUUGCAAGACUGAGAUCCUCCUCCAGCUCAAGCAAAAGCUGUUUUGUCAGUUUGAAACUAAUCCAGCCAAGGCUGUGGUAACAGAGCUGGUCUGCAGUCAGGCCACCCCACAGCAGAGCCCCUGUGGACAUUCAGGCACUCAGAGUGUCACUGCAAGGGCCUGGAAGCUCCUCUUGGGGACAUAGGACCUGUGUUGCCACCAGCUGUGGGAUGGGCAGUUUUAGGAUGUGAGUGAACUGCUACCUCUGGAGUAUCUGAAACAGAGCAAACGUUUUCUAUCAAGUCUUCACCUCUUCAAGAAACACACACCUGCACUUGUGUGCACUCAGUGCUGUGCCUGGGAGGGAUGCUCACAGUGUCCGCUUCAGCUGGGGACUCAAAGGGAAGCAGAUUCCAGGGGCUGCCUGCCUGCCGUGGGUGGUGCUCAGCGGGAGCCAGGAGCGAGUGCCUGACAUUUCCAAAGCUGUGCUUUGUGACUGCACAAACCAAGCACUCCUUACAUCUUCCUGUGAGCCCAGCAGCUAAGGCAGAGAGCUGCCACACAGGAAAGAAUAGUUUUUUCUUCUCAGUCUCCCUUUCCCUCCAGAUCCAUUCUCUCAUUUCUGUGUACCCUGUGCAGAACAGGAUGUUGAAGGAUGCAAGCCAAGAUCUCCCAGUCCUAGGGUAGCCCUACAAACAGAACCCCUACAAGAACUAGAUUUUGAGAAUGAGCUUCCAGGAGAAUUCCAAAUGCUGU